rnacentral:rRNA from 1 species
UACGAAGGGGGCUAGCGUUGCUCGGAAUCACUGGGCGUAAAGGGUGCGUAGGCGGGUCUUUAAGUCAGGGGUGAAAUCCUGGAGCUCAACUCCAGAACUGCCUUUGAUACUGUAGAUCUUGAGUUCGGGAGAGGUGAGUGGAACUGCGAGUGUAGAGGUGAAAUUCGUAGAUAUUCGCAAGAACACCAGUGGCGAAGGCGGCUCACUGGCUCGGUACUGACGCUGAGGUGCGAAAGCGUGGGGAGCAAACAGG